rnacentral:lncRNA from 1 species
UAACACAUAAUCCAGAUGGCUCCUUACGUGUUAAAAAUUGUCACCCCAAUUUCACUCCAAUUUGGAAAAAUAUUGGAGUGACGUUUGAAUAAUCUGAAAUUUUUAGAUUCCUUUUCUAACUUUUUUGGGAGGUUUUGCUUCUCUUGCACAGAUGUCGCUUGCACUUCAGUUGCGUGGUUGCCAAACGUUAUAUCGAAAUAUAUUUCAUUUCAUUAUGAAUAUAUAAAAUUAAAAAUUAUGUAAUUUAUAAACAUGAAAUAGAUAUGGAUGUUAGGUAAUACCGGAUGUUAAAUUAAUAUAUAAAUAUUUAACUUAAUACGUAAAUUAUUAUUUUAUUAAUUUAUCGUCACACGUCAUUUACCAGUUGCCUAAUUACGAAAAGUUUCAUAUGAUAUUAACCUCAAAAAUGAUCUUUGAAAACAAACAACAACAAAUAACUCAAAGAAAUAACUACAUACUACAUAAUAAUAACUGAUAAUAAUGACUUUUAAUGGUAUAAAGGCUGAUGAAGUUUUAGACAACCAAUACAAGAUUCAGAACUCGGCAUCGCGAUAAACAAGUAAAAUUGUACAUUCAGGAACUCGUUUAAAUAUUAUAGGUUGAUUGAAGAAUAAUCUACAAUUGAUUAGAGCCUAUGACGAUGCGAAGAUAAUUAAUCACCUAACUUUAAGAAACCAGCCUAAAGAAGUUUACAUGCAUCUCAUCUAACCAUUAUAGAUCAGUAGUGAUUUUUCAUAAUUUGAAUGAACUCACAGAUAGCAAUGGGGCACCGCACCGAAGCAGUAUUACAAAAUGUGAAAUAAAACUGUAGUACAUAUUGCUCUAUAAAAUUUAAUAGAAAUAAAUUUAUUUAUGAAA